rnacentral:lncRNA from 1 species
GACACCAAUUUAAUCAAUUCCUACCGUUUAAUCAUCAAUUUUAGGGAUUUGACCUAGUUUUCGUUUUCUCCAAUUCAAUCCUAAUUCUUGCUAACUAAUCAUCAGAAUUACAUUCAAUUAACAAUACAGAGUUAUUAGUCUGACCCUUACCUUUAAUUGCAGAAAAUCGCAGCUCUCCCUCUUGGUUUCUCUUCCCUUGGCUUUUUCUCCCUUUUUC